rnacentral:rRNA from 1 species
GACGAACGCUGGCGGCGUGCUUAACACAUGCAAGUCGAACGGAAAGGCUCCAGCUUGCUGGAGUACUCGAGUGGCGAACGGGUGAGUAACACGUGGGUAAUCUGCCCUGCACUCUGGGAUAAGCCUGGGAAACUGGGUCUAAUACUGGAUAUGACCUUUCUCCUUAUGGGGUUUGGUGGAAAGUUUUUCGGUGUAGGAUGAGCCCGCGGCCUAUCAGCUUGUUGGUGGGGUGAUGGCCUACCAAGGCGACGACGGGUAGCCGGCCUGAGAGGGUGAUCGGCCAGAUGGGGAUGGAAAUACGGCCGAGACUCCGGCGGGGGCAAGAGGUGGGAAAUAUUGAACAAGGGGCGGAGCCUUGAGGCAGCGACCCCGGGGGGGGAAUGACGCCCUUGGGUUUGAAACCCUCUUCCGGCGGGGAGAAAGCUAAAGUGCGGGUCCCUGAAAAAGAGGACCCGGCAAGCUAUGUC